AGUGGCGGACGGGUGAGUAACGCGUGAGAAUCUGCCUUGGGGUCGGGGACAACCACUGGAAACGGUGGCUAAUACCGGAUAAGCCGAUUGGUGAAAGAUUUAUUGCCCGAAGAGGAGCUCGCGUCUGAUUAGCUAGUUGGUGAGGUAAGAGCUCACCAAGGCAGCGAUCAGUAGCUGGUCUGAGAGGACGAUCAGCCACACUGGGACUGAGACACGGCCCAGACUCCUACGGGAGGCAGCAGUGGGGAAUUUUCCGCAAUGGGCGAAAGCCUGACGGAGCAAGACCGCGUGAGGGAGGAAGGCUCUUGGGUUGUAAACCUCUUUUCUCAGGGAAGAAGCUCUGACGGUACCUGAGGAAUCAGCCUCGGCUAACUCCGUGCCAGUGGCCGCGGUAAUACGGAGGAGGCAAGCGUUAUCCGGAAUUAUUGGGCGUAAAGCGUCCGCAGGUGGCGAUUCAAGUCUGCUGUCAAAGCACGGGGCUUAACUCCGUAAAGGCAGUGGAAACUGAAUAGCUAGAGUGCCGUAGGGGUAGAGGGAAUUCCCGGUGUAGCGGUGAAAUGCGUAGAGAUCGGGAAGAACAUCGGUGGCGAAAGCGCUCUACUGGACGGCAACUGACACUCAGGGACGAAAGCUAGGGGAGCGAAUGGGAUUAGAUACCCC
rnacentral:rRNA from 1 species